UCUCGCUCGGUGAACAGGCAGUCGACCGUCGGCCACAGCGAGCGUUUCCACAAUGCCUGGAGAUUUAUUUUAACGGAAUAGGAGCCGAGCGGAAGCACCGGAACCGCGUCCCAGAAAGAGUAAAACACUGA
rnacentral:lncRNA from 1 species